AAUGAAGAAUCUUUUAAUUGUACACCACCAGAAAUUGUAGAACUAGCUACAGCAACAGCAUCUACCUUAAUACCUGAAACAUCGAAAUCCAUUUAUAAUAAAACGUACGCAACCUUCAACGAAUGGCGUGUUCGAAGUCAACACAGGUAGCUGAAGGAUACAUUGAUCAGUCUAUGAGAAACAAGGCAACUACAGCAGAUACUAUCGCUAAAGAGAUAAACAGUAAUGUACCAUCUUCUUGUUCUACAGCAAUCGAGAUCCCAAAUAUUUGUAUUAAAAACUCUACUAAAGUUAAUGAUGAUUCUCAACCAAUUCAGUUUAUUAAUUGUACUAUUACUAAUUUUAAUGUUUUUAACAAAUAAAGUUGUUCAUUAAAAA